rnacentral:rRNA from 1 species
CGUGUAGGCGGCCUUGUAAGUCUGGUGUGAAAGCCCGGGGCUCACCCCCGGAAGUGCACUGGAUACUGCAAGGCUUGAGUACCGGAGAGGAAAGUGGAAUUCCUGGUGUAGCGGUGAAAUGCGUAGAUAUCAGGAGGAACACCGGUGGCGAAGGCGGCUUUCUGGACGGAUACUGACGCUGAGACGCGAAAGCGUGGGGAGCAAACA